AGUGAACGCUGGCGGUAGGCCUAACACAUGCAAGUCGAACGGCAGCACAGAGGAGCUUGCUCCUUGGGUGGCGAGUGGCGGACGGGUGGGGAAUACAUCGGAAUCUACUCUGUCGUGGGGGAUAACGUAGGGAAACUUACGCUAAUACCGCAUACGACCUACGGGUGAAAGCAGGGGACCUUCGGGCCUUGCGCGAUUGAAUGAGCCGAUGUAGGAUUAGCUAGCUGGCGGGGUAAAGGCCCACCAAGGCGACGAUCCGUAGCUGGUCUGGGAGGAUGAUCAGCCACACUGGAACUGAGACACGGUCCAGACUCCUACGGGAGGCAGCAGUGGGGAAUAUUGGACAAUGGGCGCAAGCCUGAUCCAGCCAUACCGCGUGGGUGAAGAAGGCCUUCGGGUUGUAAAGCCCUUUUGUUGGGAAAGAAAUCCAGCUGGCUAAUACCCGGUUGGGAUGACGGUACCCAAAGAAUAAGCACCGGCUAACUUCGUACCAGCAGCCGCGGUAA
rnacentral:rRNA from 1 species